rnacentral:rRNA from 1 species
CCUACGGGGGACAGCAGUGGGGAAUAUUGCGCAAUGGGCGCAAGCCUGAUGCAGCAACGCCGCGUGAAGGAAGAAGGCUUUCGGCUCGUAAACUUCUAUUCUCAGGGACGAAAGAAGUGACGGUACCUGAGGAAUAACCCCCGGCUAACUACGUGCCAGCAGCCGCGGUAAUACGUAGGGGGCAAGCGUUAUCCGGAUUUACUGGGUGUAAAGGGUGAGUAGGCGGGAUGGUAAGCCAGAUGUGAAAGCCUUGGGCUUAACCUGAGGAUUGCAUUUGAAACUAUCAUUCUUGAGUACAGGAGAGGAAAGCGGAAUUCCUAGUGUAGCGGUGAAAUGCGUAGAUACUAGGAAGAACACCAGUGGCGAAGGCGGUCUGCUGGACAGAAACUGACGCUGAGGCGCGAAAGCGUGGGGAGCGAACAGGAUUAGAUACCCGGGUAGUC